GGGGAAAUGGCGGGCCUGCUCUGCUCUGCUCUGCUCUCCGCUGUUCGGUUCUCCGGGAGGAAAAAAAAGGCCAACACGCCGCCCUGCAGACCCUGAGUCAGAUUUUGCGCCGCCGUUGUCCCCUGACGUCCGCUGUGGCGCAGGUGCACCAAGACUGACCGCAGACCAGCUGGAAAACACACAAACGCUCAAUCACGGAAGGCCUGGAGGAGACAUGAAGCCUGUAUUGAUUUGAGGAGUGGACUGCUGCAGGCCUGUAACUCUGAAGGAAUGACACACAACACUUGUGUUAUUGUAUUUUUCCAAAUUUUGCAGCAAGGGCUCCUAUAAUUCUAAAUUUUCUAUGUUGGAAUCAUUGAGACGCAUGCAAAUUUCUCAUCGAAAAAGCAAUAAUAAAUUUUAGUUCUUUCAUAGGUCUUCUAGAAAUGUGACAAAAUCUGGCUCAAAUAUAUAAACACAGCAAUACUACUACUAAUGACUCAACUAGGUGCUUUUGGUAGCUGUCCACAAGCUUCUGGUUGUGUCUGUGACCACUCCUCUUGACAGCUUUGGUGCAAUUCAACUGAAUUUGUUGGCUUUCUGACACAGAGCUGCUUCUUCAUCACAGUCCACAGGUUCUUGAUGGGGUUUAAAUCAAUACUUUUAGGAGGCCAGUCUAAAACGUUACUUCUAGCUUGAUUUAAUCAUUUUUUAAAACCACUUUUGAUGUGUGUUUUGAGUCAUUGUCUUUUUGGAACACACAACUGUGCCCAAGACCAAACCUUCUGGCUGAUGAUUUUAGGUUCUUUUGAAGAAUUUGGAGGAAUGAACCCAGCAGAAGGGAGACAAGAAAAUACCAAAAAUAGAAAGCAACACUGAGGUGAGUAUAUAAUAAAGUUAAUAACAGGGUUGCAUUGUGAUAUUUAGUUUGUUUUGUGGGCUUUAGACAGUUUAAUACACCUUCACACUGCUUCUCCAUUGUGCUGUCAAAAAAGUGGUUCCUCACUGUUCCAGGGUUCAGUUCUAUUUUCUACAUUUCUACAUGUAUAAAUGUCAACAUCAUCAGGGAUUCCUCUCAGUUCUGCACUCUUAGGACUCAUUAAGACUUCAGUCCAGACGAUCCUCACCUUGAGACACAACAAGCAAACAUGCAAAUAAUGUUACUACUGCUUCAUUUGGGGUUAAAAAUACUAUUUUGAUGAAUUUCCAUUGGUAAUAUUUCCAGAUAUUUGCACUAUUAGUGAAUUUCGUUUCAUUUGCUGUGUUCUCCGAGCUCAGACACUUAUUAUCAGUUUGCACAGUGUCGCAUUGUUGUAAUGUAUUUGAUUAUCUUGGGUUGAAAUUCAAAGCAAAACCUAUGAUUGCCAUUAAAGGGAUGUAG
ensembl:lncRNA